UACGAAGGGGGCUAGCGUUGUUCGGAUUUACUGGGCGUAAAGCGCACGUAGGCGGAUCGUUAAGUCGGGGGUGAAAUCCUGGAGCUCAACUCCAGAACUGCCUUCGAUACUGGCGAUCUCGAGUCCGGAAGAGGUGAGUGGAACUCCUAGUGUAGAGGUGGAAUUCGUAGAUAUUGGGAAGAACACCAGUGGCGAAGGCGACUCACUGGUCCGGUACUGACGCUGAGGUGCGAAAGCGUGGGGAGCAAACAGG
rnacentral:rRNA from 1 species